rnacentral:rRNA from 1 species
CCUACGGGGGGCAGCAGUGGGGAAUAUUGGGCAAUGGGCGCAAGCCUGACCCAGCAACGCCGCGUGAAGGAAGAAGGCUUUCGGGUUGUAAACUUCUUUUGUCAGGGAAGAGUAGAACACGGUACCUGACGAAUAAGCCACGGCUAACUACGUGACAGCAGCCGCGGCAAUACGGAGGGCGCGAGUGUUGUCCGGAAUUACUGGGUGUAAAGGGAGCGUAGGCGGGACUGCAAGUUGGGGGUAAAAUCUACCGGCUCAACCGGUAGCCGAACUUAAAACUGGAGUUCUUGAGAGAAGUAGAGGCAGGCGGAAUGAGUAGUGUAGCGGUGAAAUGCGUAGAUAUUAGGAGGAACACCAGUGGCGAAGGCGGCCUGCUGGGC